CUUAUUUAUUUUUAUAUUAUUUUUUUAAUUUUUUGUAUUAUUUAAUUUAUUUAUAGUAUUUUUUGAAGUAAUAAUUAUAUUUUUAAUCUGUUAGGAUUUAUUUAUAUAUUUUUAGGUCAUUUUUUAGUACCUUUUGUAUCAGGGUUUAUUAAAUAGGUUAAUUAGAAUUUAUACUCCCGAAUUGAAAAGUUCAGUUUUUUUAUACAUUUAUUUUUAUAAUAAAAUUUUAUAAUAAAAUAAAAGUAAUUAGAUGUUAUUCGUUUUUUAUAUAUCUGGUUAUUAGGGAUUUAAUUAAAUUAAAUAUUUUUGUUAUUUUAAUACUAAUUAUCUAUAAAAUAUUAUUUUAUUAGGGAUAAUCUUAAUAAAGUCUAUUACAAUAAAAAAUUACUGGAUUAUAUUUUCUUUUAAAUUUUGGAUUUAGUUUUUAAUAAAUUUUUUCCUUUUAAUAAUUUUUUGUUUUAUUUAUUGUAUUACUUAAUUUUUUAAUAAAAUUAUUUUUUUUUUUAAUAAUGAUUAAAUUAGUAUAAUAUUUAAAUAUUUUAUUAUGAAUUCAACAAAUUUUUAUUUCCAACUGUUUAUCAAAAACAUUUCUUUUUGUUUUUUUAAAAAGUAUCUUCUGCCCUAUGGAUUAUUUCUAAAUGGCUGCAGUAUUUUGACUGUGCAAAGGUAGCAUAGUAAAUAGCUUCUUAAUUAGGAGCUUGAAUGAAUGGAUGUAUGAGAAAUAGGUUUUAUUUGGUUUAAUAUUAAAAUUUAAAUUUUAAGUUAAAAUGCUUAAUGGUUUUCUUGGGACGAUAAGACCCUAUAGAACUUUAUAUGUUAAAUUUAAAUUAAUUUUUUUAAUUUAUAUUUUAGUUAGUUUUUUCAUUUUUAGCUGGGGCGGUUAAUAAAUUUUAACUUUAUUUUUUAAAAUCAUUUAUUUUUGUAAAUAAUGAUCCUUAACUAAGAGAUUAGAAGUCUAAGUUACCUUAGGGAUAACAGCGUAAUUAUAAUGGGGAGUUCAUAUCUAUAUUAAUUUUUGCGACCUCGAUGUUGAAUUAAGAAAAAACUAAGAUGCAGUAUUCUUAGAUUUUAGUCUGUUCGACUAUUAAAUUCUUACAUGAUUUGAGUUCAAACCGGUGUGAACCAGGUUGGUUUCUAUCUGAGAAUAUUCCAAUAUAUUUAUUUAGUACGAAAGGACCAAUAAAUAGUAUUUUAUAUUAAACU
rnacentral:rRNA from 1 species